rnacentral:lncRNA from 1 species
UAAAAAUGAAAACAGAAUCAGGGAAUAAAUAUAAUUGGAAUUUCUGAGUUCAAAGGCAUCCACAAGGAUCAUCAAAGUCCAACUCCCAGCCCUGCACAGGACAGCCCCAAGUUUCACCACGUGCCAAUAAAUGAUGGGUCAACAAAGUGAUUGACCGCAGUAUAUAACAAGGCAGCAAAAUCAAUUGUACGAAGAUCUGGAGCUGGAGCUUUGCUGACUGUAUUCUGAUAACCAUGAAUGCACAGAAAACAUCACAGCUGGACUGUGCAAGGGUCAGUGCCCAGCUGAGCCAACAAAGAGCUCAUAUGAAGGAAAGGUCUUUCAAGGUGGGUACAUUGCACUCCUUGGCAGGGAAGUGCUGCUGGGUUUUGCAGCAGCCCAGUGCAGCUGACAGGUUUGAGCAAGCUGCAGAGCCAGUCCUGCACUGGCAUUGUGGGCAGGGUCUCAAGGGCUAUGGGGGAUGUGCCUUCAGCAGAUUGCUUGAGGGGCACAGGGAUACCCAAAAGACAGUGCCUGACAUGACUUAGGUCUCCCAGCAGUGUAGCUGCUCCAGGCUUCUUGGUGAUGCAGCUGUGCCUGAGGGUACAUACACAGCAGUCUUCCUUGAUAAUAAUAAUAAUGCAAUUUCAUCCUCUCACAUGAGCAUUUCUGGCAGGGCAGUGGAAAGAGGCCCACCACCCUUGAUGAUUUCAGUCACCAUCUCUCCAGUCAUCGUCUGCAGAGGAAUCUGGAUAGGCUGGAUCCAGAAGACCAAUGUACUUGCCCUUUCAAAGGAGAAAGAGAGCUCAAAUGACCACCAGCAAGAACAUCAUGAGUAUUUUGGGAAGAUUGCCCUUUAGAGAUGUGCAGACAGUGUGCCCACCUCCCAUUCACAGCACAAAAGGUCUCACUUCAAACGGUUUUGGGAGAAGAGGAGCCUCCAGUCACCCAACACCGAUGGAUGUCUCUGCUGAGUCACACGCGCCUGCCUCGCCAGCACGGCAGGAUUGGUGCUCUGCCAGGAUGAUACCGUGCCAAAACUCUGUCCUGUGUGCUGUAAGUGGCCGUUCAUCAAGUGCAACUGAUGACAUCCUGACAAAUGAGUCAGGUUUAUUUGAUAUUAGAAGAGAGUUUUUCAUUUGCAUGCUGUAA